rnacentral:rRNA from 1 species
UACGUAGGGGGCGAGCGUUGAUCGGAUUUAUUGGGCUUAAAGGGCGUGUAGGCGGAAUGGAAGGUCUUUUGUGAAAGCCCUCGGCUCAACCGAGGAAUUGCUUGGGAAACCACCAUUCUUGAGGCAGGUAGAGGCGGCCGGAACGUGUGGUGGAGCGGUGAAAUGCGUAGAUAUCACACGGAACGCCGGUGGGGAAAACGGGACGCUGGGCCUGACCUGACGCUGAGACGCGAAAGCGUCGUGAGCAAAAAGG